rnacentral:rRNA from 1 species
GACGAACGCUGGCGGCGUGCCUAAUACAUGCAAGUUGAGCGAUGAAGAUUGGUGCUUGCACCAAUUUGAAGAGCAGCGAACGGGUGAGUAACGCGUGGGGAAUCUGCCUUUGAGCGGGGGACAACAUUUGGAAACGAAUGCUAAUACCGCAUAACAACUUUAAACAUAAGUUUUAAGUUUGAAAGAUGCAAUUGCAUCACUCAAAGAUGAUCCCGCGUUGUAUUAGCUAGUUGGUGAGGUAAAGGCUCACCAAGGCGAUGAUACAUAGCCGACCUGAGAGGGUGAUCGGCCACAUUGGGACUGAGACACGGCCCAAACUCCUACGGGAGGCAGCAGUAGGGAAUCUUCGGCAAUGGACGAAAGUCUGACCGAGCAACGCCGCGUGAGUGAAGAAGGGUUUCGGAUCGUAAAACUCUGUUGGUAGAGAAGAACGUUGGUGGGAGUGAAAAGCUCAUCAAGUGACGGUAACUACCCAGAAAGGGACGGCUAACUACGUG